CUUCAUGAUAGACUUAUCUAACAUGUUCUUCCAAUGAUACAUUAUUGAUCACUCAUAUAUUUCAUACAUUUAUACCAUCCAUUUCUAAAGUCUUUGUGACGUUUUUGUGUUAAAUUGUGGUACUUUACCUUACCUUGUGUUAAUGUACAAUUAAAUUUGCUUUAAGAUUAAUUUCAAGUAAAGUGGAGAAAAAUAAAAAAAGAAAGGAAAGGACACUUUGUGUUUUGUAUAACGAAACAUAAUUCAGUCCGUUAUUAUGUGCAGAUGGGUUCAAAAUAUACCGAUUUCAAUUAUCUUUAUCUAAAGUUGCAGACCACUACAAUACCACUACAUCUUAAAGCUUAAGUGAGGAGUGCACUGACAGAGGAACAAAGAGACUAAAAACAGAAAACAAAGGAAAUGGAACAAAAAGAAAGUAGAAAAUAAAGAGCAUGGCAGAAAAGGAAAUGUGAAUGGAAUUGGGUUGGUGAAGCUAAUGGACGAAGAGAGCGCAGAAAGAGGAGUUGCCUUGCGGGGAAAGAGGUCAGAAGCAGAAAAUAUAAAGGGAGUUCAGAGGGAAAGGCACGGACAGACAGAAGCACAUAAGCACGGCAGAUCUCCUCUCUCGGUUAAAUCUUUCCAAACUUAUAUUUUAUUUCUAAUAAUGUGUAACUAAAUUUAUUUUGGCUAGAGGUUAAUUCAAAGCCAUGAAUAUAUUUGUAAUAUGAA
rnacentral:lncRNA from 1 species